GUGCUCACUUCGACAGCACAUAUACUAAAAAUUGGAACGAUGCAGAGAAGAUUAGCAUGGCCCCUGUGCAAAGAUGACAUGCAGAUUCGUGAAGCAUUCCAUAAUUAA
ensembl:snRNA U6 U6 spliceosomal RNA